rnacentral:tRNA from 1 species
GGCGUGGUAGCCAAGCGGCAAGGCAGAGGUCUGCAAAACCUUUAUUCGCCGGUUCAAAUCCGGCCCACGCCU